UCCACUCUCUCCCUCUCUCUGCCUUUGUGUGCAGCACACCUGAGCUGAACCUGACACUCACCACUGAACGAACUGAGCACCGUGGAAGAACGAGGGGAGUCGAGGCGAAACGAGCCAGAAAGAGAGAAAAAGGAAAAGGAAGAAAGAGAACUGAAGCCCUCAACGCAAUGCCCCAUGGUACAUAACAUCUCUUCACCUUUCCGCCUAAUUGAUAGAAGACAGAUCCAUCACUAUGUCUGCGAGCUGAACACACACCCCUAGGACAGUUAUUGGCCUGUCCAUGACUGAGUACUGAGACAGUGGGUAGAGACAAUGUGGUGUUAAACGCACAUGGAAGAAUCCGGAUGUAUUGACCAGACCAGGACUAGACGGCUCAUCAAGGUUGUGGUUUAGACGGAUCUGUUGUCUCGACGGGGAAUGUUAAUCACCUCGAUGCUCUGUCGGCACCGACGCCACAGACACCACUAAUCACACCAUGAAGACAAACUGUGCCUGUGUUGGAUCCUAAAUGCUAGCUUUGGGUGGGUAACUUUUGAACUAAUAUCCCAUUCACCAUGAAAUAGAAAUGGGGACCCGCUAUUGGACGACAAACGGAGAUAGGCAGUGGAAAAAAGGAACCAGCAGUGGGGUUUAUAGACUACAGACAAAUGUACACAAUGGCUUUGAUGCAGAGGAUACCUUUCCAACGACUGACUGUGUUUCCCGCUGGCGUUCUAGUUUGCGAGUAUCUUAAUGGAAUGGCACGCGUCACAGGAUCCUAAGUAAACAUACAGACACACAGUCACACACGCAGACAUCCCAGCAGAUGUGACGGCACGUCACUUCACCCUUCAGACGGAGAAUCAGUGCCUGCACAAAGCCAUACCUGGAACUCACACAUGGGGUGUCAGGCAUGGCAUUCACAAAGAAAAUGAUCAUCCAUCAACAUUGUACAAGGAGUGCGUUUUCUAUUACAGGGAUUACUCCUUUACCAAAAACAACCGUUUAAAAAAAGCAACCAACGUAUACAGUAUGGUAAAUUGAUUUAUUAUCUCUUAAGCUGAGGGCUGUGUUGGUUUUUUGGAUAAGCAGUGGCUUUGUGUCAUGAACAAUUCCUGUUCCCCACUUUCCACAGAAGCCUGGUGAAUGUGACUGCCAUUGGAGCAGAAGCCGAUUGGCUUCUGUUUGGAAGCUUUCAAAUGCUUUGACUGGCAGCUGUGUUCUAGGAGGCGGGACUUUAUCUUCCUACUCUUCAUGCUUGUUUUGAUAACUGCAAACCCCAACAACCCCCCCCCCCCAACACACACACACACACUUAUUGUGAUUUUCUAUUCAUUUCAUAAGGAUUAUCCAGCAUUUCUCUCAUAUGUUGGGCACAUUGUAUCCCCUCCAGUCUCUGAAGAGCAACACGCUCGCUCUUCAAAGCUACUCCACCACAAUUGUUGCCUCAGUCACCUAUUAUAAACAAGCCAUUUUUUGAGAGAAAGGCCGUAAUUGUGUGAAAGUGUGCCACAAAUGGCUUUGUAGCAUUACUGCAGCCCCUUUCUUCAUUGUACCCCUGUACACCAGCGCUGAAAGCUCUCUCCAAUUGAAGUUUUGCUUUCAUCCGGCAUAAAAGCUCUGUCUGCGAGUGAGUUGUGGGUGAGAAGGAACGUACUCCGUCUACUCCACACACGGUGAGCAGGCUGCAGCUAGUGGCCACUGGGAAAUCAAGGAGCACUUUGUCAUGCAUCCUUAAAUGUGUGACACAGCGUCCCGGGAGACAGAGGCUGAUUGGUCUAGGAGGCGUCGAAGAGAGAUGGCUCGCCUGUGUCCUGCUCCCAGAGAUGAACCAAGUGCUAUCCACCAAGCAUGGGCUCUCACAAGUGAGGAGAACCAUCCUACUGCAGUUUGAACGAGCCCUACUGUCACCAUUUAGAUAUUGAGACGGCAUAUGCAUUUGCCUGCUGUGAUAUCUUUUGUGGGUAACUACAGAAAUACACGCGCUUGUUUGAGCAUCUCCAAGACUUCAUUCAAUGUAGAAUCAGUGUAACAGGUGACAAACAGAUUAUUCUACUAUCGUAGAAUUCUAUUGUUCCCUUCAGGAGCCCAGGCUUUUGCCAUAGAUGGUGGAGUUCACAUCUCUGUACCAGACAAGCUUUAGACAGCAUUCUGCUAAGGCACUUGUCUCUCUCAACAUCGUUCAGCUACAUUGGUGAUACGCCUAUGAGACCCGGGCACACAAAUGAUCCUGGAGAGAAGGGGGACUACUGAAGAAUGAGUUGAUGACAGUUCUACAGUCUCCAUCAGAGGCCCAGGCUUUUGGCAUAGACGGUAAAAGCUCUCAUUUCCGGAUUGCAACAUUGCGAGAUUGUGCCCUCCACGCCACUUGAUAUACGUUGAUUGGUAGGUGACACUAUAUUUAGAUACUUGAAAUACUGACUGACACACCUUUGCUAUUUGUCUCCGUACUCAAUAAAUGGUGAAACACUA